CGGAGGAAAAGAAACCAACAGGGAUUGCCUUAGUAGCGGCGAGUGAAGCGGCAAAAGCUCAAAUUUGAAAUCUGCCAACAGGCCGAGUUGUAAUUUGAAGAUGGCAUUUAGGAAUCGUCCUUGCUCAAGUUUCUUGGAAUAGAACAUCAUGGAGGGUGAGAAUCCCGUGAGGCGAGGGUUGCGAUUCUGUGUUAUUUGCUUUCGACGAGUCGAGUUGUUUGGGAAUGCAGCUCUAAGUGGGUGGUAAAUUCCAUCUAAAGCUAAAUAUUGGCGAGAGACCGAUAGCGAACAAGUACUGUGAAGGAAAGAUGAAAAGAACUUUGAAAAGAGAGUGAAAAAGUACGUGAAAUUGUUGAAAUGGAAGGGCUUGAGAUUAGACAUGGUGUUUCUGUUUUCAGGUUCACCGGGCUAGCAUCAGUUUGGAGAGUAGGAUAACCGGUUUGGAAUGUAGCAACAUUCGUGUUGUAUUAUAGACAGACUUUCUACUGCUUCUCUGGACUGAGGACCGCUUAUAGGAUGCUGGCGUAAUGAUCUCAAGCCACCCGUCUU
rnacentral:rRNA from 1 species